GGCAGCCCCAAUUGGUAGUAGUGGAAGUGGUAGCUUUGAUGACCACGAUGAACCAGGAAUUGAUUGCUCUAAUGACGAGGAUGAACAGAGAAUUGGUAGCUAUGAAAAUGAACCAGGAAGUUAUAGCUCUGAUGACGACGAUGAACCAAUCAGCAAAAGAUUAAAGAAAGUGUAAAUUAUUUUGUGCUUGCUUCAAUCAUUCAAUGGGUCUGAAUAUAAUACUGGAAAGGCUAAUGACGUUGGUGAAUUCUCAGAAUUCAUCUCAGAAGAUAUGCUGUUUGUUUUAGUUGUUUAAUUUGCUCGCAAAUUUAUUAUUCUGAUUGAGUUGUUUGUUUAAUCGUAAUGUUUUCUUUUUCUUCUUCUUUCUCUUGUUACAUUUCAGUUAUAUAGUUUUCCAUUUCCAAAGACAUAAAUGCAGGAUAUGCUAUAACGCGUAUAAAUACCUUCUUAUACCCACCGUCUUACCCUUUUCGCACUUUCGCCCAACUCCCCGAACUCAGCGCUCUCUCUCAUUCGCGCUCUCUUUCUCUCUCCCUCCCUCUCGUUCAUUUUCUCCAUAGAAAUGGAACUGAGCUCUCUCUCCGCUGGGUUUCUCUCUCUCUCAUAUCAGUUAACGGCUCGUGUCUAAUUGAGCAAAUACCUUCAUCAAUUGAACAUCUUGUUGGCCUUGGUGAAUUGCAUAUAAAUUGUUGCAAAAGUAUCUUGGGUCUACCCUUUGAAGUCUCUUAAAAUCCUCUGGGGGCUAAGUUGCUCAAAGCUUGACAAACUUCCAGGGGACUUGGAGUCUUUAGAGGAACUUUAUUUAGACGGAAGUGCUAUGAGAGAGCUGCCGCUUGUUAUGAAAAACCUCAAACGUCUAAGCUUUGCUAAAUCAUCAACUUCAAGGGAUGGCAUUGGGUGGGGCCUUGGCCGUUCAUUUGGAAUUAGAAAGAGUCAUCCUGACCCCUGGGGUUUGGUGUUGUCUUCUCUAAAUCAUUUAUGCUCUUUGACAAGUUUAAACCUAAGAGAUUGUAAUAUUGGUGAAGGUGUCAUUCCCGAUAAUAUUGGUAACUUCUCUUCUUUAGAAUAUUUAAGACUUCGUGUAAACAAUUUUGUUAACCUUCCCACGAGCAUUACAUUCCUUUAUAAGCUUAAGUCUCUGGACUUGAGGCGGUGCAAAAGGCUUGAGCAAUUGCCAGAUCUUCCGUUAACGACAUUAUUUGUAUAUGUAGACGAUUGCACUGCCUUAAAAAGGUUGUCUGAUCCAUCUAAAGCUGAGCGAAGGAGCCAAUGUGUAUGAUUUUGAGUUCACUUGUCUUAAUUGCUUCAGAUUGGCCGAAGAAGGCUGGAUUAAUGGAAUAUUUGCAAUGAUAAUGAUUCCUCUCUGUACCUUUUUGUAUGGCCUGGCAGUGAAAUUCCAGAUUGGUUCGAUAAUCGAAGUGUGGGAGAUUCAAUAACUGUGGAGCUGCCUCUGCCACUACCUCCACAAUCAUCAUGUAGCAGCGACUGGGCUGGGAUUGCUUUAUGUGUUUUUUUUGAAGAUUCUGAAUAUUUGCAAAAUCCAGCCGCCCUUGUUGGAUAUUUUUUUUCAAAAUUCAACGUUUGCUGGGUCCAUCUGAGACUUUUGAAUUUAGGGAUCAUAGGUCAUAACACCUUUGGGUUUUUCGUUUGCCUCGCAAUCAUCCCAGCUUCAUGGAUGCCUCAAGCAGUCAUCGGUUUUCAUUCGAAGCACAUUAUUGUGCAUACAGAUCUUCCAACACACUCAAAACAAGCUCGAAUUUAAAGGAAUGUGGGGCCCGUUUGGUGUAGGAGAGAGAUUUGAAAUAAUUGAGCCGUUUGGUGUACGGUGACGAGGCAGGCCCAAUUGGUAGUAGCGGAAGUGGUAGCUCUGAUGACGAAAUUGAACCAGGAAGUGAUAGCUCUGAUGACAACCAUGAACCUGGAAUUGGUAGCUCUGAUGACGACAAUGAACCAGGAAAUGAUAGCUCUGAUGACGACGAUGAACCAAUCAUCAAAAGAUUCAUGAAAGUCUAAAUUAUUUUGUGCUUGGUUCAGUCAUUCAAUGAGAUGAAUCGGGAGAAACUUAUGAAGAUGGCCGGUGCAGUUCGCACUGGUGGAAAGGGUAGCAUGAGGAGAAAGGAGAAGGCUGUUCACAAGACAACUACCACAGACGACAAAAGGCUUCAGAGCUCCAUUAAGAGAAUAGGGCGUGAACGGUAUCCCUUGAAUCAAGUUAACAUCUUUAUGGAUGAUGUUGUCAUCCAGUUCAUAAACCCCAGAGGUGAAGCCAACAUGCCAGACCAGAACUCUGAUCUUAGUUGCAAGAUAUUCUUUCCAGUAUAUUAUCAGCCACUUGGGGCCAGAUAACUUGGACAAUUUGAUGAAACUGUCAGAGCAGUUCCAGAAGCAAGCGGCAAGCGCCUGGUGCUAGUGCUGCUGGUGGAACCACUGCACAAGAGGAUGAUGAUGACCUGGUCCCUGUGCUUGUUGCUGGUGAGACCUUUUAAGCCUUCUGAUUCUGGAGUUGUGGCAACGAAACCCGUCCACAAACAUACUUUUAUUUCACUCUACUUUCCUCAUCAAGCUUAGCAAACAUUGGGCUGUUUUUCCUUUUUUUGUUAUCUCAAUUCCUUUCUGCUUUAAUAUAUCACUUUGGAUAAAAA